rnacentral:lncRNA from 1 species
GGGGUCCCCUUUUUAUAGGCGGAGGGCAUAACAGAUUGACAGCGACGUCUGUAACCGCUUGGUAAUGGGCCGUUCGGGGCCAUGAGGAGUUUGUUACGGAGAGUAGUGGAGUGGAGUCGUGGCCAUCACCGUGGCCUGCCAUGUGGAGCCUGUUGUGGAGAGUGGAGUGAUGUCCGUUGUCGUGACUUGCCAGAGCAUGAUGGAGCCGCAUGGGAUCCGUUAUAGGAAGUGGAGCAGAGUCGUGGCC